GGGUGAAAAAUAUUCUACUGUUGGUUUUAUUUAUAUGUUGUGUGUACGAGUACAAUUAAUUUGUAUCAAAAUCGUGUAAAACAUAUCUUACUCGUAUGAACGUAUCUAAGAUUUAACAUAUGUAUAUCGGUAAGUGUUUGUUUGAAUAUGACAAUAAACAUUAUAGUUUUGAUAACAUAAAUAUAAAAUAUGUUAUUUAUAAAGUAAAAAUGUACCAAAUUGAAUAGUAACUAAUAAAUUAGUUAUAUUUACUUUUUGCAGUACAUUAAAUCUUCUUAUAAUUUAUAUUUUGUUUUUAACAUUGAAUUGUAUACCACAUUGUUGUUAUUAUUUUUACUUUUAUUUUUGUUUGUAUUUAAAUAUUUGAGCAGCAUUGAUAAGUUUACAUAAAUUUAAGAAACAUAAUGGACUCUUGUCUCCCCACAAGCUCAGGCUUUUGGACACAAAUUUGUUCGCAUUCUAUUAUUAUUUUAUUUUGUUUAAUUGUAACUAAGUAUAAAUCUAUCUUUCUAACAUAUGUAUGUUGGUGCUUAAUUAUAGAUCAUAAUACAAUCACUUUUAUUUAUGAAAUACACUGAAAUGAUGUCAUCGAUCAAAAUCAGUCAAGAAUAUCCAACUAUACAUUCUACGUUCAAGGAGAGUAAUAAAGAGACGAUUGGACAUUUAGGUAAGCGAAGAUAAGUUAUUGAAAAAAAAAAAACACGAACAGGCAUUACUAAAUAGUACUUUUACCUCGUGAAGAAUGUAUAGUAUUCAUAGAUGUCAGUAGUAUUUGUUUGGACUCGAACAUUGCGGGACAAUUGAUUUAGCUCUCGUGAAUUUCAUAUUGAAUUGGCUCCUAACAUCGUAUUUUGCUUAGUGUUUUUAUUGAUAAUUAAUUAUAAAUUGUAUUCAUUAUUUUUAAUUUUAGUAUGAAAAGGGGACACAUUGGCGGAAUGUUUUGAAAAUAUGGCCAUAUUUAAAAGUAAUAUCAUAAGUUUUCUGUACAAAUGUCGAGUCUUUAUGAUUAUUUUUAACCAAAUUACAAUGAAAAAACAAAAUCGAAAAUAAUAUC